rnacentral:ncRNA from 1 species
UUAGAGCAUGGACAGGACUUUUCCCUAGUACAAGAGGACCGGGAAGGACGCACCUUUGAUGUACCAGUUAUCGUGCCUACGGUAAACGCUGGGUAGCCAAGUGCGGAGAGGAUA